AAAUUGAAGAGUUUGAUCAUGGCUCAGAUUGAACGCUGGCGGCAGGCCUAACACAUGCAAGUCGAACGGUAACAGGAAGCAGCUUGCUGCUUUGCUGACGAGUGGCGGACGGGUGAGUAAUGUCUGGGAAAAUGCCUGAUGGAGGGGGAUAACUACUGGAAACGGUGGCUAAUACCGCAUAA
rnacentral:rRNA from 1 species